rnacentral:sRNA from 1 species
GCUGGGCAUGGUGGCGCCUGCCUGUAAUCCCAACAACUGGAGGCUGAGGCAGGAGGAUGGCAACUCUGAGGUCAGCCUGAGCACUUUAAUGAGAUCCUAUCUCAA